UAGAACAUGCUCUUUCCAAAAAUCGCGGUCCCGUUCAAAUCGGGGGCGGAUACCUCGAGAGGUUCCCUUGUAAGUACCUGCGUCUGAGUGUCGAAUAAAAAAUGUGAUGAAAAUCAAAGUUCAAUAUUUUUUAUCAUUCUGGAGUUUACAGCGCGAUUUUCGAUUUCUCUGUAAUUUUUACAUUUUUCCAGAAAGAAAAGAGAAUUGAUUUGGCAGCUAAAAUUGAACUUGUGGCUAAUUUUCGACUUGUUUGGAGGGUUUAUUUACAUUCGAUCGGGUUUCAAGGCGAACAUCUCAAGUUCAAUCUCUGGCUAGAAUUAAAAUGAAAAAAUUCAAAAAAAUGAAAGUUUUUCUAUGCCGAGAAAUUUUUUUUGAAAUUUGCACGAAUGGUGGUAUGUACUUUGUCUAAAAUUAAUCCUCCGAAUUAGAAUUCCACAAUUUCGAGCCAUUAGCGAGAUUUUUGAUUUCUUCAAAAUUCAAAAUUUUUCAGAAAGUUUAAUUGUGACUUAUUAUUGACUUUCUUGAAGGUUUUACCCUUAUUUGGACCACCGUUUAGACGACAUACUUAUCGAUGGCGUUUUUCUGACCAGCACAGGCUAGAUACCUACUUUAUGAAGAAAGCAAUCCAAAAAAAUCAAAAACUUAAUGUUUGUAAGAAAAUAUUUGAAAUCUACACGAAUUGCCAUAUCAGUAGUGAGAUAUAACCGAGCUCUAGACCCCCACAUUUUCAAAGGAGCAAAAGGAGCAAUCCUUUUCCUAUGGCUCCUUUGAAAAGGUGGUCCCAAGCUCGGUUAUACGCUUACCAGGUUUCAAAAGCGUAAACCUAAACAUCGCGCCGAAGUCUCCCCACCCCCCCUCUCUCCCUCAACCAUACAUUAGCCCAAAUUGAAGCUUACUUGACCCCUUUAAUUAACUAAAAUAUUCGUUUUAUCCCUACUUUUUUUUCAGGGUGGGAGUAUUUGGUCUCUCUAAAAAUAAUCGUUGAAAAAUUAGGUGCAAUCAUUACUAUUUGGUCACUUCUUUUAUCCACUUGUUAGAUUAACGCGGAGUUUUCGUGAUAUUUUUCUCACUUUUUUUUCAAUUUUUAUAGUGUUGAUCUGAACUUCUUGUUUUAAAGAAAAAGUGUAACUAUCACCGAUCAUUAUGAGUUUCAAUAACGAUAAUAGUGCUACUGCUAGUACCUCGACAUCAUCUGUCAACCAACAACUUGAUCAAAAUUCAGCUGAAGCAAUACGAAGCAAAUCCAUACUGGUUUAGAUGUUGAUAAUUGGUUCGAGCCAACAAUCUACCUUGCAAAAAAUUCUCUGCCAAAAGGACCUGGAUUGUACAUGAAGGUUCAAACUUUCCAAGAGCUCAUGUCCGAAGAAAAUAUCAACAUUAUAAAUAACUACUUCAAAGGUAUUAACGAGGAGGAGUACAAAUCAAAAACACUCAUGAUCAAUAAAUACCUUACGGUACAAUUUAGAUAUACUUACAGUGUAAAGUCAAUUGUUAUUGCUAAUACUAUAUUUUUACAAUUAGCUUCUUGGAAUAAUUUAGUCAAAUUGUAUUACUGCAUACCCUCAAUUAGUGAAGAUUUGUCUCAUAAGGCUGAUAGUUGCAGAAAUUUGUAUGAUUACGUUUUUAAUAAGGUACAGUCUGCUAUUCUUGAGAAAUUGAAUUAUCAUGACACUGAUAAUUUAGACCAUCGUAUAAGAAAACUAUACUAUCAUUCUCUAAAACAAUUUGACCCAAAGAUUGAUACUACUGAUAGAGUCUAUUAUGAAGUAACAACUUUUUGUGAUGAUAGUAUUGUAAAUGGUCUCACAACAAAGUUUAAACAUAUGUCACCUGCAUACAUCGAUAUCAUGAAAAUGCAACAUUAUGUGGCUGAACAGGAACGAUGUUUAGAUGCUGACGUAACUGACAACCCAACAUUCUAAGACAUUUUCACCUAAAAUAACUGACAAUAACGUAUUUUAAGGCAUUUCAACUUAAGAUGUAAAUUAAUUAAUGCAUUUGAGCCUAUUAAAAUAAAUAUGUAAAUAAAUA